rnacentral:rRNA from 1 species
CCUAACACAUGCAAGUCGAACGGUAACAGGAAGAAGCUUGCUUCUUUGCUGACGAGUGGCGGACGGGUGAGUAAUGUCUGGGAAACUGCCUGAUGGAGGGGGAUAACUACUGGAAACAGUAGCUAAUACCGCAUAACGUCGCAAGACCAAGGAGGGGGACCUUCGGGCCUCUUGCCAUCGGAUGUGCCCAGAUGGGAUUAGCUAGUAGGUGGGGUAACGGCUCACCUAGGCGACGAUCCCUAGCUGGUCUGAGAGGAUGACCAGCCACACUGGAACUGAGACACGGUCCAGACUCCUACGGGAGGCAGCAGUGGGGAAUAUUGCACAAUGGGCGCAAGCCUGAUGCAGCCAUGCCGCGUGUAUGAAGAAGGCCUUCGGGUUGUAAAUACGU